AGUGAACGCUGGCGGUAGGCCUAACACAUGCAAGUCGAACGGCAGCACAGUAAGAGCUUGCUCUUACGGGUGGCGAGUGGCGGACGGGUGAGGAAUACAUCGGAAUCUACUUUUUCGUGGGGGAUAACGUAGGGAAACUUACGCUAAUACCGCAUACGACCUACGGGUGAAAGCAGGGGAUCUUCGGACCUUGCGCGAUUGAAUGAGCCGAUGUCGGACUAGCUAGUUGGCGGGGUAAAGGCCCACCAAGGCGACGAUCCGUAGCUGGUCUGGGAGGAUGAUCAGCCACACUGGAACUGAGACACGGUCCAGACUCCUACGGGAGGCAGCAGUGGGGAAUAUUGGACAAUGGGCGCAAGCCUGAUCCAGCCAUACCGCGUGGGUGAAGAAGGCCUUCGGGUUGUAAAGCCCUUUUGUUGGGAAAGAAAAGCAGCAGGUUAAUACCCCGCUGUUCUGACGGUACCCAAAGAAUAAGCACCGGCUAACUUCGUG
rnacentral:rRNA from 1 species